rnacentral:rRNA from 1 species
UGGGGAAUAUUGCACAAUGGGCGCAAGCCUGAUGCAGCAACGCCGCGUGAACGAUGAAGGUCUUCGGAUCGUAAAGUUCUGUUGCAGGGGAAGAUAAUGACGGUACCCUGUGAGGAAGCCCCGGCUAACUACGUGCCAGCAGCCGCGGUAAUACGUAGGGGGCUAGCGUUAUCCGGAUUUACUGGGUGUAAAGGGUGCGUAGGUGGUCUUUCAAGUCGGUGGUUAAAGGCUACGGCUCAACCGUAGUUAGCCUCCGAAACUGGAAGACUUGAGUGCAGGAGAGGAAAGUGGAAUUCCCAGUGUAGCGGUGAAAUGCGUAGAUAUUGGGAGGAACACCAGUAGCGAAGGCGGCUUUCUGGACUGCAACUGACACUGAGGCACGAAAGCGUGGGUAGCAAACAGG